CUGCAAAAUAAUAAUAACGCGGCUGAACGAGACGAAAUAACGUUAUAACAUUUCGUUUCGGUCAACGAAAACGAAGAGACAUUUUGGAUUGUUUUUAUUUUGUGAACCACAUUUAGUCUCGUUUUUUUGUCAACGAUAUUGCAUUAUACUUUUAGUUAGAGUCAUCGUCACAUGACCAGCAUUUUCGUUGCGUCUCGUCUCGUUUUUGUCACGCGACAAAGUUUCGUUGACGACCAUAUUUAGUCAUAAUUUUUGUUGACGAAAGCAACACUACUUCUAAGGCCAGUUACUGGUUAUGAGGCAGGACUAAAGCAGUUUAGCCAUGAACCAGAGGCCCCCGACUAUGGUUUGGGGCCGCAAAUCUGGGCGAGUAACACUGUAUUCGAGAAAGUUCAAACUAAAAAGAAGUUGGAUGCUGCAAGAAGUAAAACCAGAAUUAACAUUGGCGUGGCUUCUGAAUGACAGCGACAGCUGAGAGAACAAAGGGGGCUGAAAAGUGAUGGCAUUGCAGCCAUAUUUCUGCUGGACAGGGCUGGCUAAGGAGAGAAGUCAGAAGAAAAAGGUGGGAUUUCUUCUUUUGGCUACUUUCAAAAUCCAGCUCUCACUUGCUGGUUUUUCCAGGAUCACCAGCCCUACUGUAAAUCUUUGUGGAUUAUGGGCCAUAGUACCCAUACCCUCUUCUGGCCAGCUGCCACUGAGCCAAAGGAAGAUUGUGAAUGGAAAAGUCAGUUGCAUCUGGCCAUGUUGGAAGGUAUAAAUGCAGACACUGGCAGUGGGGACAUUUUUCUGACGUCUUCAGCUUCUGACUAUGUUGUUCUAAAGACAAUCAUAAAACAUCAAAAUCAAAGAUUAAAACAUUUGCAACAAACAGUUUUCCCUUUAAACAUUUCUUUUCUAACAAUAAUUGACUUAACUAACCUCAGUGCUCAGUAGUGUUUGUAGAGACACUGUAAAUAGACUUCCAGUGUAAUAUAUUAAAGAUGUCAUGGUUAACUCACUUCCUG